UCUGGUUGAUCCUGCCAGUAGGGCAAGUCUGGUUGAUCCUGCCAGUAGUCAUAUGCUUGUCUCAAAGAUUAAGCCAUGCAUGUCUAAGUAUAAAUAACUACACAGUAAAACUGCGAAUGGCUCAUUAAAACAGUUAUAGUUUAUUUGAUACAUAAAAUGGAUAACUGUAGAAAAACUAGAGCUAAUACAUGCCAUAACCGCAAGGUUGUAUUUAUUAGAUAUACCAAAGUGGGUGAAUCAUAAUAACUUCGCAAAUCGCAGCAAUGCUGCGAUAAAUCAUUCAAGUUUCUGCCCUAUCAUGCUUUCGAUGGUAGUGUAUUGGACUACCAUGGCUCUCACGGGUAACGGGGAAUUAGGGUUCGAUUCCGGAGAAGGAGCCUGAGAAACGGCUACUACAUCUACGGAAGGCAGCAGGCGCGUAAAUUACCCAAUCCUGACUCAGGGAGGUAGUGACAAGAUAUAACGACGCGACUAAAAAUCGCGAUUGUAGUGAGGGUAUUCCAAACCGAACCACUAGUACGAUUGGAGGGCAAGUCUGGU
rnacentral:rRNA from 1 species